CCUACGGGAGGCAGCAGUGGGGAAUCUUGGACAAUGGGGGCAACCCUGAUCCAGCCAUGCCGCGUGAGGGAUGAAGGCCUCUGGGCUGUAAACCUCUUUUAUCAAGGAAGAAGAUCUGACGGUACUUGAUGAAUAAGCCACGGCUAAUUCCGUGCCAGCAGCCGCGGUAAUACGGGAGUGGCAAGCGUUAUCCGGAAUUAUUGGGCGUAAAGCGUCCGCAGGCGGCCCUUCAAGUCUGCUGUUAAAAAGUGGAGCUUAACUCCAUCAUGGCAGUGGAAACUGUUGGGCUUGAGUGUGGUAGGGGCAGAGGGAAUUCCCGGUGUAGCGGUGAAAUGCGUAGAUAUCGGGAAGAACACCAGUGGCGAAGGCGCUCUGCUGGGCCAUCACUGACGCUCAUGGACGAAAGCCAGGGGAGCGAAAGGGAUUAGAUACCCCUGUAGUCCUGGCCGUAAACGAUGAACACUAGGUGUCGGGGGAAUCGACCCCCUCGGUGUCGUAGCCAACGCGUUAAGUGUUCCGCCUGGGGAGUACGCACGCAAGUGUGAAACUCAAAUGAAUUGACGG
rnacentral:rRNA from 1 species